UGAAUAUCCUCCAUUCAUCCAGAUAUGAGACUCUUUGAUGGAGCAUGUCCUCAGAGGAAAACAACACUCUGGUUUCUCUCUUCAUCAUUUUGGCUGUUUCUCUUCACAAGAACUGUCUAUCAACACAGUGACGCGUUCACUGACACUCUGUAAAAUGAACUCCCAUCCCCCGAGUCCUGCGGCAGGAAGCGCUCCUUCUCUCCAAGAACUCCUGGACCCUGCAAGUUGGUCCAGAACCAGAGUCCCAGUGAGGAGUCCAGCCAGUCGACCUCUCAGAGUUCAACCAAACUACAACAUUAUUAAAGAUCAUGUUUAAAGUUAAAAAAGGAUGCUUUCAGACUGAAUCCAGAAGCUUCUCCAGCUGCAGUCAAAGCAGAUCAUUUGAGGAAUAUAUAAAACAAUUAUAAAACUG